GCCCCCUGCCGGCCGCGGAGGGCGCGCCUUGGAGGGAGAGGACUUUAGGUGACGCCGCCAGGAGGCGAAAUUUCACCUGCCAGCAGGUAAAAGGUAUUGCCCCGCCUCUCUAAUCGAUCCAUUCUUCCUAGGAAAGUGACUUCAGGCAGUAGUCACAUAAAAGAAAAAGCAAUACGUUGAGCAAUGCGUUUACUUCCCAAAGAUUAGAAACAACCCAAAUGUCUAGUGGCAGGUGAGGCAGAAGUACACUGAUUUCCGCCGUUGUUUAUUACCUAGGCCUUACUGGGUACCAGGUGGGUCUGGUGGAUGCACUUUUCAUGCUGUGUCUCAUUUUGUCUUCAAAACGACUGUAGCGGGUAUGUACUGUAACUUGCCCCACCUUGUGCAGAGAAGGACAUUUAGGCUUAUAUAAAUUAAGUAACUUGACCUAGACCACACUAUACAAAUGAAAAGAUUGUUAUUAUUGAUAGGAUUAAUCAUUUUAAGAAGGCUGGAUUUGCUUGCUUCUAUUUUAGCUGCUGAAAUUAGGAUUACUGUUUGGGAGACACUGCAGUUCAGUAUACGAUUACAAAACUUAAUACUUAGACUGGGUAGUUCAUGUAAAUGGACAUAGGAGGCUGGGGUAGACAAAAGGGAGGGGUGAGGACUGCAGUGAAAUUGGAAACACAUCCUUUAUUAAAAGGGGGCAGCUGCUACUCAUCUUUGGUAUGGCUAGAGUUUUAUGUGAAAAUUUCCACCUUUUACAUACUAGCAGCUAUAUUCGUUUUCUCUUGCUAUUAAUAAAUUACCACAAACUUACUGCCUUAACACAAAUUUAUUAUCUUCCAGCUCUGGAGGUCAAAAGAAAUGAGACUGCUGGGCUAAGAUCAAGGUGUCAGCAGGGCUGUAUUCCUUCCCAAGGCUCCAGGGGAGAAUCUGUUCACUUGCCUUUCCCAGCUUCUAGAGGUUGCCUACAUUCCUUGGCUUGCGGACCCUUCCUCCAUCUCCAGAAUCAGUAACGAAAGAUCCAAAGCCAUAUCCUGGCUGAGUUGGCUGAGUUGAGCAGGACACUGACAAGGAGGCUGCUGAGCCUGCAACUCGACUGUUCUGUUUGAGGAGCUCUGUGCUUUAUCAUAGAAAUGGAUCUGAGGUGGGGUGUUGCUUUGUCUUGUGAUCGCAGCUCACGGCAGCCUUGGACUCGUGGGCACGA
rnacentral:lncRNA from 1 species